AUUCCUACGGGGGGCAGCAGUGAGGAAUAUUGCGCAANGNGGGCAACCCUGACGCAGCGACGCCGCGUGGGUGAGGAAGGCUUUCGGGUCGUAAAACCCUGUCAGAAGGGAAGAAGUGCUUAUAGGUUAAUACCUUGUAAGUUUGACGGUACCUUCAAAGGAAGCACCGGCUAACUCCGUGCCAGCAGCCGCGGUAAUACGGAGGGUGCAAACGUUGUUCGGAAUUACUGGGCGUAAAGCGCGCGUAGGCGGUUUGUUAAGUCAGAUGUGAAAGCCCAAGGCUCAACCUUGGACGUGCAUUUGAAACUGGCAGACUUGAGUACUGGAGGGGAUGGUGGAAUUCCCGGUGUAGAGGUGAAAUUCGUAGAUAUCGGGAGGAAUACCGGUGGCGAAGGCGACCAUCUGGCCAGAUACUGACGCUGAGGUGCGAAAGCAUGGGGAGCAAACAGGAUUAGAUACCCUGGUAGUCCAUGCCGUAAACGAUGUCAACUAGGUGUUGGGGCGGUUAAUCGUCUCAUUGCCGGAGCUAACGCAUUAAGUUGACCGCCUGGGGAGUACGGUCGCAAGAUUAAAACUCAAAGGAAUUGACGGA
rnacentral:rRNA from 1 species